rnacentral:rRNA from 1 species
UACGAAGGGAGCUAGCGUUGUUCGGAAUUACUGGGCGUAAAGCGUGCGUAGGUGGUUUGUUAAGUCUGAUGUGAAAGCCCUGGGCUCAACCUGGGAACGGCAUUGGAUACUGGCUUACUAGAGUGCGGUAGAGGGGUGUGGAAUUCCCGGUGUAGCAGUGAAAUGCGUAGAUAUCGGGAGGAACAUCUGUGGCGAAGGCGACACCCUGGACCAGCACUGACACUGAGGCACGAAAGCGUGGGGAGCAAACAGG